rnacentral:rRNA from 1 species
GAUGAACGCUGGCGGCGUGCCUAAUACAUGCAAGUCGAGCGAACAGACGAGGAGCUUGCUCCUCUGACGUUAGCGGCGGACGGGUGAGUAACACGUGGAUAACCUACCUAUAAGACUGGGAUAACUUCGGGAAACCGGAGCUAAUACCGGAUAAUAUAUUGAACCGCAUGGUUCAAUAGUGAAAGACGGUUUUGCUGUCACUUAUAGAUGGAUCCGCGCCGCAUUAGCUAGUUGGUAAGGUAACGGCUUACCAAGGCAACGAUGCGUAGCCGACCUGAGAGGUGGAUCGGCCACCCGGGAACGGAGACACGGUCCAGACCCCUACGGGAGGCAGCAGGAGGGAAUCUUCCGAAAGGGGCGAAAGCCUGCCGGAGCAACGCCGGGGGAGGGAUGAAGGUUUUCGGAUCGUAAAACUCUGUUAUUAGGGAAAAAAAAAUGUGAAAGGAACUUUGCACGUUUUGACGGUACCUAAUCAAAAAGCCCCGGCUAACUACGG